UCUGCCUGCAGUUAUAAUAUUGUGCCUCAUAUUUUUCCUAUAGGUAUAUGUCAGCUGCGAAAAGUGGUGACCUUGUCACAAUUACAGCAGAAGCUCUAAAAGUUGGAAGGACCAUGGCUUUUACUACGGCCGAAUUAAAACUGCAAGAUGGGACUAUUGUAGCGAGAGGAAAUCAUACAAAACACUUAGGAAUGCCAACAGCUAAAAAACGAAGUUGAAUUUGUACGAAAUUGUACAAUUGUUCGAAUAUGUACAAAGUCAAAGGUUUAUGGGUCGUAAACCAGUAGUUUAUAUGAGAGUGAGAAAAUAAAGUUAUUUCUUUACAUUCAGGGUUCUUUUCAGGACUUUUUGAACUUUUUUUUACUUUUUGAACUUUUUUUUUUUAACUUUUUUAACUUUUUUUUUACCUUUUUUUUUACUUUUAUUUUUUCUUUUUUACUUUUUUGAACUUUUUUCCUUUUUUAUGGCCC